UAGGCUGGAAAAUAGUGAGGGGUUUUUGUGUGGAAAAUGUUGAAGUUUCUUCCAAAACCUGCAAAUCUUCAGCUGAACUGGGAAAGUUUUUAGCUAAACAUUUGGUGGGGGUUGAUUAAAAAUUGAAAUUUUCCCCACAAAAAAACAUCCCUGUGUUGUUUAAUCAGAAACAGAAUUUUCCAUCAGCAAACCCCUCUGACAGAGAACGACUGACCAGUUGUACUGGGGAUGGGCCUUAGCUGUGUGAAGCCUGCACCAGGGCAGCACGGCCCAGAGAAAUGCCUCCCUAGUCGGACAUGACUUCCACUGUCAGGUAUGGGACACUCAGGCUUGGUCCACACCUAGAACGUAGGGUUGGCAUAGCAACACUGAUCUGGGUGU